AACGCUAACGCAGCCAUUUUUAAAAAAAAAUCUUCAUCCAUUGCGCAUGCUUUUAUAGCCACCCAUAUAAUUGCAAGUUUCCCAGCGUCACCUCUAAGUGUCGCCAAAGGAACAA